GACGAACCGUGCGAACGUUAUUCGGAAUCACUGGGCUUAAAGCGCGUGUAGGCGGGUCGGGACGUCGGUCGCUGAGAUCCCCCGGCUCAACCGGGGAAGGGGCGCCGAUACGGCCGGCCUCGAGGGACGUAGGGGGGGCUGGAACUUCCGGUGGAGCGGUGAAAUGCGUUGAGAUCGGAAGGAACGCCCGUGGCGAAAGCGAGCCCCUGGUCGUCUACUGACGCUGAGACGCGAAAGCCAGGGGAGCGAACGGG
rnacentral:rRNA from 1 species